rnacentral:rRNA from 1 species
CAAGGUUUCCGUAGGUGAACCUGCGGAAGGAUCAUUGUCGAUACCUGUCCCAAACAGAACGACCCGCGAACUCAUUAUCACCACUCUUGGCGGGCUGGUUUCGUAACCGAUCCCUUGCCCGCUGAAUCCGUGGUUUCGUGUACUGGUCUGAUCGUGAGUUUUCUCUCGGUUCGGUCAUGCACGUUGCUUCCGGAUAACACAAAACCACGGCACGAAAAGUGUCAAGGAACAUUAAACUGAACUGCCAACACUCGCCACCCCGGAAACGGUGUGUGCGCGUUUGUUGAGCUGUGAUCUAAAGUCUAAAACGACUCUCGGCAACGGAUAUCUCGGCUCUCGCAUCGAUGAAGAACGUAGCGAAAUGCGAUACUUGGUGUGAAUUGCAGAAUCCCGUGAACCAUCGAGUCUUUGAACGCAAGUUGCGCCCAAAGCCAUUAGGCCGAGGGCACGUCUGCCUGGGUGUCACAAAUCGUCGUCCCUCUCAUCCUUCACGGAUUUUGGGACGGAAGCUGGUCUCCCGUGUGCUUCGGCAAACGGUUGGCCUAAAUCCGAGCCAAGGACGUUGGAGCGUUCUGAUAUACGGUGGUGAAUAUGAUCCACUUGCAUAUUGUUUGGUCGCUCCUUCCCCGAAGCUCCCGAUGACCCAAAGUCUUCUAAGCGACCCCAGGUCAGGCGGGAUCACCCGCUGAGUUUAAG